UUUUAAACUCAUUUACUAACAUCAACUUCCUUCACAGGGAAUGGAGCUCUCGACAAUGUGUGAAGACGGACAGCUGCUUCCUUUGCUUAUAUUUCAUUUCCUGGUGACAAACUGUCAAUAAGAGACCUGAACUGGAUUUGUGAUUACUAUUUGUGGGUUUUGACGGUAAUGGAUAAAAGUUACAAGAACCAUUGAAAGACUUCUCCAUUUGCAGAUGGAUUUGGGCUAAACUACAACAAGACCAUGACCCACUCAGGAUGUUUCUGAAAGCAACCGAGUUAUAUUGCCCAUUCUCUGCAGACAGAAAGCAGAACUCUAUUCAAAAUGUCUUCCUUGAAACAACGAACACAAGUAACCCAACCAAUUUUCUUAGGAAGAAAGCAGGGCCACGAUCACCUUGAAGAAUGGAAGGAGCAACUAGGAGAAAAAAAAUUGAACGCUGGUAGAAAAUAAAACUUGUGACAAAGAUAUAACUUCUGCAGAGUCACAUUCUGCUUUAUUAAUUAAGGAGCUGAAUUAUAUUGUGGUAAAGUCAGCCCUUUCACACCCUGCAUUCCUAACCUCAGUCAACCAAGCUUUGAACCCUGGUCUUGCAUAUGGCAAGUGUUUUACUGUCGAGUUAGCCUCAGUGUGAACAACAGUCUCCAGCCCAAUCCCCAAACCAAUACAUGGUUCUUUAAAAAGAAAGACAUUUCCCACUGCAUUGGGCAUUUCUAGUGUGAAAUUCUUUCAGAAUCUAAGAUGGUAUAGAGUGACCUGUGAGUAAUGGGUGGCUUUCACUGCCAAGCUGUCAGGCACCAAAAACAUCUUUCCUUUCCAGGAAGAUUUUCUAAUGGCACAAGUAUAUGGUCACUGUAUAUUUAUAGGUAAAUUUUUUCAUGGAUAUUUUCAUUACCAGAUCUUAAUCAAAUUAAAUCUUAGUGUAAGCCAGUUCUUCAACAAUGACAAAGCGCAUGUAUGUGCGCGCGCAUAUUGCAGAGGCUGAACGAUAAGAGCCCAUGUCUCAAGCAAAUUCAAUACUAAUGCUAACUUCCUUCAGCUACAUUUAAUAACUGAAGAGUCUAUGACCUUUAUGCCAUGGCAUUU